rnacentral:misc_RNA from 1 species
UAUUCUCAACCUUGAUGGCUUGCUAUUCAAGGCUUGGAUGUGAGGGUUUGCUGGCUUCCUUGAGUGGAGGUCUGCUCCCUUUAAAUGCAUUAGUGAGAUCUCUUGUGGAUCGGUCACUUGGUGUGAUAAUCUAUCUACGCCGCCUGGCUGAGAAGCAUAUAAUUGGGAACCUGCUCAUAACCGUCUGCUUGCAGACAACAUUCUUAAU